rnacentral:rRNA from 1 species
GACGAACGCUGGCGGCGUGCUUAACACAUGCAAGUCGAACGGAAAGGCCCUGCUUUUGUGGGGUGCUCGAGUGGCGAACGGGUGAGUAACACGUGAGUAACCUGCCCUUGACUUUGGGAUAACUUCAGGAAACUGGGGCUAAUACCGGAUAGGAGCUCCUGCUGCAUGGUGGGGGUUGGAAAGUUUCGGCGGUUGGGGAUGGACUCGCGGCUUAUCAGCUUGUUGGUGGGGUAGUGGCUUACCAAGGCUUUGACGGGUAGCCGGCCUGAGAGGGUGACCGGCCACAUUGGGCCUGAGAUACGGCCCAGACUCCUACGGGAGGCAGCAGUGGGGAAUAUUGCACAAUGGGCGGAAGCCUGAUGCAGCAACGCCGCGUGCGGGAUGACGGCCUUCGGGUUGUAAACCGCUUUCGCCUGUGACGAAGCGUGAGUGACGGUAAUGGGUCAAGAAGCACCGGCUAACUACGUG